rnacentral:rRNA from 1 species
AUUGAACGCUGGCGGCAUGCCUUACACAUGCAAGUCGAACGGUAACAGGUCUUCGGUUGCUGACGAGUGGCGAACGGGUGAGUAAUACAUCGGAACGUGCCCAGACGUGGGGGAUAACGAGGCGAAAGCUUUGCUAAUACCGCAUACGAUCUAAGGAUGAAAGCAGGGGACCGCAAGGCCUUGCGCGUUUGGAGCGGCCGAUGGCAGAUUAGGUGGUUGGUGGGAUAAAAGCUUACCAAGCCGACGAUCUGUAGCUGGUCUGAGAGGACGACCAGCCACACUGGGACUGAGACACGGCCCAGACUCCUACGGGAGGCAGCAGUGGGGAAUUUUGGACAAUGGGCGAAAGCCUGAUCCAGCAAUGCCGCGUGCAGGAUGAAGGCCUUCGGGUUGUAAACUGCUUUUGUACGGAACGAAAAGGCUCUGGCUAAUACCUGGGGCACAUGACGGUACCGUAAGAAUAAGCACCGGCUAACUACGUG